UACGAAGGGGGCUAGCGUUGCUCGGAAUUACUGGGCGUAAAGGGCGCGUAGGCGGACAGUUAAGUCAGAGGUAAAAGCCCAGGGCUCAACCUUGGAACUGCCUUUGAUACUGGCUGUCUUGAGUUCGGGAGAGGUGUGUGGAACUCCGAGUGUAGAGGUGAAAUUCGUAGAUAUUCGGAAGAACACCAGUGGCGAAGGCGACACACUGGCCCGAUACUGACGCUGAGGCGCGAAAGCGUGGGGAGCAAACAGG
rnacentral:rRNA from 1 species